AUUCCGCCAGCUUCAACCCGGAGCUGCUUACACACAUCCUGGACGGCAGCCCCGAGAAAACCCGGCGCCGCCGAGAGAUCGAGAACAUGAUCCUGAACGACCCAGACUUCCAGCAUGAGGACUUGAACUUCCUCACUCGCAGCCAGCGUUAUGAGGUGGCUGUCAGGAAAAGUGCCAUCAUGGUGAAGAAGAUGAGGGAGUUUGGCAUCGCAGACCCUGAUGAAAUUAUGUGGUUUAAAAAGUAGGUAUGCCUUAGAACAGAGCAAGUGUUGUUAAGCCUAAACUUUAAAGCUGCGGUCUAUGGUGGC
rnacentral:sRNA from 1 species